rnacentral:rRNA from 1 species
AGUGGGGAAUAUUGCACAAUGGGCGAAAGCCUGAUGCAGCGACGCCGCGUGGGGGAUGACGGCCUUCGGGUUGUAAACCUCUUUCACCAUCGACGAAGGUCCGGGUUUUCUCGGGCUGACGGUAGGUGGAGAAGAAGCACCGGCCAACUACGUGCCAGCAGCCGCGGUAAUACGUAGGGUGCGAGCGUUGUCCGGAAUUACUGGGCGUAAAGAGCUCGUAGGUGGUUUGUCGCGUUGUUCGUGAAAUCUCACGGCUUAACUGUGAGCGUGCGGGCGAUACGGGCAGACUUGAGUACUGCAGGGGAGACUGGAAUUCCUGGUGUAGCGGUGGAAUGCGCAGAUAUCAGGAGGAACACCGGUGGCGAAGGCGGGUCUCUGGGCAGUAACUGACGCUGAGGAGCGAAAGCGUGGGGAGCGAA